GGAAUUUUAAAUUACACUUCUUUCUUUCUUACUUCCGAGUGUGUGUGUGUGUGUGUGUGUGUGUGUGUGUGUGUGUGUGCUCGUGUGCGUGCAUGAACACCACAGUGCAUAUGUAGAAGUCAGAGGACAACUAACAGGUGGAAAGAACAGCCCACUGAAAACAGCCUAAGAUCAAAGAAAAGGCGCUGAGUUCCUGCCCUCCUGCCUCUGCAUCCUGGAGUGCAGACGUUCACCACCACACCUGACCUCGUGCUGUUGGCAGACCC
rnacentral:lncRNA from 1 species